rnacentral:rRNA from 1 species
AUUGAACGCUGGCGGCAGGCCUAACACAUGCAAGUCGAACGAGUGGCGGACGGGUGAGUAAUGUCUGGGAAACUGCCCGAUAGAGGGGGAUAACUACUGGAAACGGUCGCUAAUACCGCAUACCAUCGGAUGAGCCCAUAUGGGAUUAGCUAGUAGGUGGGGUAAAGGCUCACCUAGACGACGAUCCCUAGCUGGUCUGAGAGGAUGACCAGCCACACUUGAACUGAGCCACGGCCCAGACUCCUACGGGAGGCAGCAGUGUGGAAUAUUGCACAAUGGGCGCAAGCCUGACGCAGCAAUCCCGCUUGUAUGAAGAAGGCCUGCGGGUUGUAAAGUUCUUGCGGUGGCUAGGCGUUACCCACAGAAGAAGCACCGGCUAACUCCGUGCCAGCAGCCGCGGUAAUAC